rnacentral:misc_RNA from 1 species
GUUAUGUUUAGUUACAUCGGGGCUAGCCCGAAUCAAAUGACAUUCAAAGUAAACUUCAGAGCUUGUAAAGCGAGACGGCGUGCGUUAUCCACCCGCCGUCCCUAUGGUGCACAUGUGUGUGGGUUGUGGAUGAGGGGGCGGAGCGAGCCCGCGACACGGCGUCUCCGCCGGUGCUGAGCCGACGCUCCGCCGCCCCCGGUUUAAUUCAUUAAUGAUCCUUCCGCAGGUUCACCUACGGAAA